UACGUAGGGUGCGAGCGUUGCCCGGAAUUACUGGGCGUAAAGAGCUCGUAGGUGGUUUGUCGCGUUGUCCGUGAAAACUCACAACUCAAUUGUGGGCGUGCGGGCGAUACGGGCAGACUGGAGUACUGCAGGGGAGACUGGAAUUCCUGGUGUAGCGGUGAAAUGCGUAGAGAUCGGGUGGAACACCAGUGGCGAAGGCGGGUUGCUGGGCUGACACUGACGCUGAGGCGCGAAAGCCAGGGGAGCGAACGGG
rnacentral:rRNA from 1 species